rnacentral:rRNA from 1 species
UACGUAGGUGGCAAGCGUUGUCCGGAUUUACUGGGCGUAAAGAGCGCGCAGGCGGUCGUUCAAGUCGAGCGUGAAAGCCCCCGGCUCAACUGGGGAGGGUCAUUCGAUACUGAUCGACUCGAAGGCAGGAGAGGGUAGUGGAAUUCCCGGUGUAGUGGUGAAAUGCGUAGAUAUCUGGAGGAAUACCGGUGGCGAAGGCGGCAUCCUGGACCGACAUUGACGCUGAGGAGCGAAAGCCAGGGGAGCAAACGGG